GUCUGAGAUAUAUUUAGACGACAAAAUAGUAACGUGUGAAUAAGUUUGAGACGAGAGACGGCUGCUCACAUCUUUAGUAUUACUUUAGUUUCGACGAUACUUUUAUGUCGUUAAGAAGCUUUCUAAUGACAGAAACUUUAAUUUUGUUACGAAUGUAGGUGUAUACAGACGACAGUUGCUUAUGUAAUACCCCGGAAAUUUGAUAUUAGUUUCAAAUGUUAUUUUGGAAAUUUUUAAGUAAGAGUUGUAUGAUUUUGUGGUUUAGUGAGUGGACUGGAAGUAGUCGAGUUUUUAUUUCCGUGGAAAUGCUUUAUUUUGAAGGGUCAAGAGUUGACUUUUUAAUCUAUUGGGUUUCUCGGAAAACUUUCUUCACGAAAGUUGUAGAGCACGACGAUACGAGUUCGUAGACAUGUGGCACGCGUCAAAUGGACUUCGUAUGAGGAAGUUAUGGUAAGCGGAAGUUCGUGGCUUUACGGGAUUUUCGGGUUAAAUAAGGAAAGUGUUAGGGUUUCCAUUCAUUUUUUCCGGAACCCAUUUCCUUCCCUCUUUCUUCUCCCUCGCGCCUCACCCUCACUACCCGAGUUUUCCAGCCGACCCGACCCGGACUCGGUCAACCCGACCCGAUGUUUCCGGCCAACUCCGGCGGACUCAGACGGCGGCACCGGUCGGAAACUCUUCCUCUCCUCGGCGUGAUCCUCCCUGUGUAGGUGGGUGAGGACGUCUCGACCCGGAUUUGAGAGAAUCGAACGCCACAGAGCGGGUGACGGACCCGACUUCGACCCGACGACUUUCCUUUCUUCCUAUUAGAGUUGCUCUGAACCUAUAAAUGGUUGGAUAUGAGAUUUGUUUAAAUUAGUAAAUUUUGGGUGGUGUUGUGAUUGGUAGAGCACGAAGGCUCCAGGAGUUUAAGGUUNNNNNNNNNNNNNNNNNNNNGUAAGAGUUGUAUGAUUUUGUGGUUUAGUGAGUGGACUGGAAGUAGUCGAGUUUUUAUUUCCGUGGAAAUGCUUUAUUUUGAAGGGUCAAGAGUUGACUUUUUAAUCUAUUGGGUUUCUCGGAAAACUUUCUUCACGAAAGUUGUAGAGCACGACGAUACGAGUUCGUAGACAUGUGGCACGCGUCAAAUGGAUUUCGUAUGAGGAAGUUAUGGUAAGCGGAAGUUCGUGGCUUUACGGGAUUUUCGGGUUAAAUAAGGAAAGUGUUAGGGUUUCCAUUCAUUUUUUCCGGAACCCAUUUCCUUCCCUCUUUCUUCUCCCUCGCGCCUCACCCUCACUACCCGAGUUUUCCAGCCGACCCGACCCGGUGUUUCCGGCCAACUCCGGCGGACUCAGACGGCGGCACCGAUCGGAAACUCUUCCUCUCCUCGGCGUGAUCCUCCCUGUGUAGGUGGGUGAGGACGUCUCGACCCGGAUUUGAGAGAAUCGAACGCCACAGAGCGGGUGACGGACCCGACUUCGACCCGACGACUUUCCGGCUGUGUACGGCGGCGACGCAGCUUGGGACCGGUAGGGAUAGAAGCCCCUUGGCGUCCUGGUCCGAAUUCUGGUGGCCUUGAAGCGCGACACACGACAGAGAGCGGCGGUGGAGGAUUCUAAGCAUUCCCGGUGAGUUUCCGGCGACUUCCCGACCGUUUUGGUUUCGACCUCAUGUAUGGAAGUUGCUCUCCUUGCUCUGAGCUAUACUUUUGGUGUUGGAAGUUUGUCCGUUUUCGAAGGUUAGUGGGGUGGCGCGUGGGGCCCACGCGCAGUCGCUAGGGGCAGCGCGUAGCGGCGCGUCCGUAGGUGGUUGUGGUGUUUGUGUUGUUGGUUAGGUAGUACUUGUUGAUACGAUCAUGUUGAUAUGUGGUUUGUAGGUUUUGGUUACCGAUGAUGCAUGCUAAGGUUUCCCUCUCGAAUGCUAGGUUUCGUUCGGUUUCCAUUUUUGAGUAUAUUUGAUUUUUAGAAAUCUGGUUUGUGGUUUUAUAGGUUGUGUAGGAUGUUCAAGCGACCUUUUUGAGGUAUAGGGAGAGGUUUUGUCUCGAGUGACAAGUUUAUGGGUUAGGACUUGAGUUUUGGUUCGAGUCGGUUUAUGUUGUUUUUGUUUGUUACUAAGUGGAGAUUCUUUUCUAGGUGGUUGACGAUACGUGUUCGCAUCUUGCCUUUUUGCUAAGAGAAGACGCAGCAGGAGUUUUUGUUUAAGGUGAGUAAAAUCUCACUAAGGUCCACUUUGUGGCCUAUUGAUUUUGAUAUGAUGUUGAUGAUAAUUAUUAUGAUAAUUAUUAGGAUGAUGAAUAUGAUGGUGGUCUUGAUGAUGAUGAUUUUGAUGAUGAUUUUGUUGAUGAUGAUGAUAAUUAUUGCUAAUUGUGAAGUUGUCCUUGAAAGAAAAUGAUUUGUUUUAAAUAUAAAUGAGCUUGAUCGUCAACGGCUCAUGGUAAGUGAAAACAAGUUUUCUGUUAAUAAAAUAAUCUUUCAAAAGGACUUCCGAUCAUGAGUAAUAAUUAGAGUUGGUAGAAUUAUUCUUGUUUUAAAUAUUUAUAUCCACGUGUUUAUGGUGCUUUAGUGGUGAAUGUUGCAUUAGUUGUGAAUAUGUGUGCCUUAGUGGUGAGUGAGUGCAUUCGUUGUGGAUUUGUUGCCUUAGUGGUGAAUGUUUGCAUUAGUUGUGGUUGUGUGCCUGUGUGGUGGUUUUGAGUAUUAGAAUAGGAGCCUUCGUGGUGGACCGGGAACCAAGCCUUGGCCGGGUGAUUGGUUACGGUCAGUUUUAGAGCUCUAGUCUGUCGGUACUUCAUGGGGGAUGACUAUGUGUUGAUGAACCUAUAAGUACGUGUUUGUCUAGUUACUUAUGAGAGAUGACUAUGCGUUGACAAACUCAUAAGUAAGGGUUGAGAAAUGAUUGUGUGGUGUUAUUAUUUAAAUUUCUUGUUUUAAGAAUCUCCUGAACUAUGCUUAAUGCAAGAGAUUCUUUAGUUUUAUUUGUGUGAUUUUUUAGUAGAAUCCUGAACUACGCUUUUUGCAGGAUUUCAUUAUGAUUUGUUUGGUUUUGAAAUUGUUGCUUUUUUCUUAAUUUCUUCUUUUCAUUUCUUUUGAUGGUAAGUGUUUUCCUGAAUUCAUUUUAAUGCAUGAACUCCCAGUUUUAUUCAUGUGUUGUUGGAUUGAGUCAUUUUUGUAGAUUUACUCAUAAAAGCUUUUAAAGCUUACCGGGUUUGUUGUUUACAACCCGGUGCACCAAUCCAUGGUGUAGAGGUUGUUUUUGCAGGUCAGGUUUAGCAGAGUUGAGGCUGCGGCAGAUAGGCAUAGUUCAUUUUGUUUACUUUCUAGUUUGCAGUGAGUUUGAGGGAGGUUUUAUUUGGUUCAAAUUAUUUUCCACAAGUUGUAAAAAUAAAUUGUUGUAUUGAUUUUUAUGCUUUUUGGUUAUCAUGCCUUGAAUUUGGAAUUUUUNNNNN
rnacentral:lncRNA from 1 species